UAAAUAUCUAUAUAAAGGUGACGAAGUUAGUAAAGGAAUUAAAUAAAAGAUUAAUACAGCCCUAAAAUGUAAUACUUUAUAAAUGAGUAAAACAAUUGAGGAACACAGUUGAUCCACUAUAAUUAAUAACAAUUUCAAUAUUAGCUUUUGGGCAAUAGCCUAGUAAGUUACAUACAUACAUACAUACAUACAUACAUAAACUUUAUUUCAGUGCCAACUGCCAAGAAUACAUAGCCGACAUUUAAAAAUGUUUGAAAGCUUAUUUGAUGUCCUUUGAGAGUUCGUAUUGUAAAGUUGGUCUUCAGAUAUGCCUCGAUAAUCAACAAAAGAUCAAACAGUUUGGGUUUUAAUGGUUUCCCAUGCAAAGGAUUAUAUACGUGAAGGAAAGGAAAUACUUUCUCUGAUGAAUGAAUAAAUGUUUAUCAAACAAUUAUGUUUUUCAUUCACUCACUCUUUUGGCCA